GGGUGAGUAAUACGUAGAUAAUCUACCUUUGAAUUUGGGAUAACAUUGCGAAAGUGGUGCUAAUACCGGAUAACAUUUAUAAGACUUCGGUUUUGUAAAUCAAAGAUGGCCAAUUCUUGAAAGCUAUUGUUUGAAGAUGAGUCUACGCACCAUUAGCUUGUUGGUGGGGUAAAAGCCUACCAAGGCGACGAUGGUUAGCUGGUCUGAGAGGAUGAUCAGCCACACUGGAACUGACACACGGUCCAGACUCC
rnacentral:rRNA from 1 species